UGGGGAGUGGUAGGUACAGCUUGUGCAUAAAUUGUGUCCAGACAUCUGAGCAUAACUGGGGAAGCACGCCUACCUGAAUUUAUUACAUGAGCGACAUGGGAGCCUCCUGGGAAGAAACCCUCAUCUCAAAGGAAGAGAGAAUUAGACAAGGUUGACCCAGUAACCAAUCUUGAGUCACAGUGGGAUUCUCUCCUGGCAACCAUUCAUUUGCCCUUGACCAGGAUUUCUGUGAAAGAAAAGCUUUGUCAGGGACCUCAGAAGACAAAGUGCAGCAUUUCCCCAAGAUGGGACACCUCGUGGGAGACCCUCCCUCCACGCUGGGACUCCAAAGGCCAUUCUUCAGAGUAAGGCUGAAGGCCUUAAUAGAAAAAGGCUGAUGGCCCUGGAAGAGGAGAGCGGCUUGCGGCAAACUGCCUUCGGACUCCAACUGCAACGCUUCCCUGCGUCUCCGUCUUGCUGCCUACCCUGCAGAUCUCGGACUUACCAGGCCUCUAC